GACGGAGGGUGCUAGCGUUGUUCGGAAUUACUGGGCGUAAAGGGCGCGUAGGCGGCUACGGCAGUCGGGUGUGAAAGCCCGGGGCUCAACCCCCGGAACGGCAUCCGAUACUCUGUGGCUAGAGACCGGAAGAGGUGGGUGGAAUACCCAGUGUAGAGGUGAAAUUCGUAGAUAUUGGGUGGAACACCGGUGGCGAAAGCGGCGUCACUGGUCCGUUACUGACGCUGAGGCACGAAAGCGUGGGGAGCAAACAGG
rnacentral:rRNA from 1 species